GAGCCGCUCGGCAGCAGAGCGGCAGCGGCGGCGGCGGCUACGGCCCCGGACGGCUGGGGCUCGGAUCUUUGGGAGCGGGUGAACCCCGUUGGUGCCGCCGCCGCCGCAUGAGUAGGGAGACCAUGCCCCAGCCCGCAGCGUGGCCGGGCGCGAGCUGCGCGGAGAUGCCGGCGCGGGAGGCGGGGGCCGCGGCGCGGGAGGGCGGGAAGGCGGUGGCUGGCGGGCACUCCCGGCCCGCGAUGCAGUGCCCAGCCGAGCAUGAGGAGGACAUGUACCGUGCCGCAGAUGAAAUAGAAAAGGAGAAAGAAUUGCUUAUACAUGAAAGAGGGGCAUCAGAACCCAGAUUAAGUGUGGCUCCUGAAAUGGAUAUCAUGGACUACUGCAAAAAAGAGUGGAGGGGAAAUACUCAGAAAGCAACAUGUAUGAAAAAGGGCUAUGAGGAAGUUUCUCAGAAAUUCACCUCCAUAAGGCGAGUCCGUGGUGAUAAUUACUGUGCGCUGAGGGCCACAUUGUUCCAGGCAAUGAGCCAGCUGGCAGAACUGCCCCCCUGGCUGCAGGACCCAGAGCUCAUGCUGUUACCAGAAAAGUUGAUGAGCAAAUAUAGCUGGAUCAAGCAAUGGAAACUUGGACUGAAAUUCGAUGGGAAGAGCAAGGACCUGGUUGAAAAAAUUAAGGAGUCCCUCACCCUGCUAAGGAAGAAGUGGGCAAGCCUGGCUGAAAUGAGAACUGCUGAAGCAAGGCAGAUAGCUUGUGAUGAACUGUUCACAAAUGAAGAAGAGGAAUACAGCCUCUAUGAAGCAGUAAAAUUUCUAAUGCUAAAUAGAGCUAUUGAACUCUAUGAUGAUAAAGAGAAGGGAAAGGAAGUACCUUUUUUCUCUGUGCUCCUGUUUGCUCGGGACACAUCAAAUGACCCUGGACAGCUGCUGAGGAACCAUCUAAACCAGGUGGGGCACACUGGUGGCCUAGAACAGGUUGAAAUGUUUCUUCUUGCUUAUGCUGUGCGCCACACAAUCCAGGUGUACCGGCUAUCCAAGUACAACACUGAAGAGUUCAUCACAGUCUAUCCCACUGACCCACCCAAGGACUGGCCAGUGGUGACCCUCAUUGCAGAGGAUGAUCGGCACUAUAAUGUCCCUGUCAGAGUGUGUGAGGAGACAAGUUUAUGAGAGACACAUGUACCUGGACAGCCUUGUGAUGCAGCACAGGUGCACAGGCAGCUCCUUGGUGUGGGCCUCAGACCUGCAGGUCUGUGAGAACUCUCGGGCCCCUGAGAGCCCUGUUGGACUAGGAUGUUCUGAAGACUUAUCUUUUGAUAAUAAGAAUUAACUAAGUCUUUUCCCUCAUCUGUUACAUUGUAUUUCAGGGGGCCUUUAGAGCAUUGCUUUUGGAAGGUACAAACUACAUCUCCAUAAGGCAAAUAUUUUUGUAUCAGAGGAAACUCAUUUUGGAGAGAAAUAUGUUUAAAAUGCUCUCUAAUGGAAUCAAAAUUGUCUCUAAUGGUAAACUGGCUUUUAAUUUAAAAAAAAAAGACAGUAAUUUUUUGGUGGUGGUAAUGGGUCUCUGUAAUGUUCGUCCUACGUGAUCUGCUUAAGUGGUAGAGUUGUAGGAUGGAUUUAUUAAUGGCGCAGUCAUAAUAUCUUCUGAUAGUCUGAUCUACUUGUGGGGGGUGGGCAGUGAUUCAGAUUUGCAUAUUAAUAGUAUUUUAGGAGAUUGUCUCUUAGAAGAUUAAGAUUGGGUCCUCAAGUGGGUUUUUUGAAGGCUGGAGGAGAUGCAUGAAGGAGUGGCAGAGGAACCUAGACUUUUGUGCUCUGUGUGACUGUGACAGAUGUCUGGAGCUUGUAUGGGUGGUGCCCUGUCAGCAUGAAGAAGCUGCUUACACGGAUGCUGUAGUAUAUUCAGAAAUACCAAAGAGUCUCAAUCUUAUAGUCAUAACAAUUUAUAUAUACCUGUAUUUUCAGAGGUGGAAACCAAGGCCAGAUGAUGUCAGUCACUGAUCUCAGUUAAUAAGUGGGGCCGAGCUGGCCUCAGUCUUUCUGUGCCCUUUUCAUGCUGUGUUUAAGGUAAUUUCCAUUGCCAAAUCCAUCAUCUGAUGAUGGGAUCAGUAGCAGCAAACAGACUUUUCAUGAGUGAGUUGAAGCCGAAGCAUGUAGUAAAUGUAAGUGCAGAAGUGUGCUGAGCUGUUAGUGCCCUUGAUUUGACUUGGGAAGUCCUGUUGUGAGCAUUGACCUGGUUGGCACAGACUAGCAUGGUGACUGGGAUUGGUGAUAGGCAGCUGUGUUGAACAUGGUCUUCCUUAGGGCCUGUGUUGUCAUUGUUCGUGACAGUGAACCAGACAUAUCACUCUUUAGGAUUCUGUCAGCAGCACCUGAAUGGGUUCAACAUUGUGGAGGUGGUGUUUCCCUGAAGUACUAAGCUUAUUUUAUAAUAAUUAAAAUAUUCGAUCCAAUUUAAUAUAGUUUAUAAGCUAUAUAACCUGCUUUGGGGGGAGGGACAGACCUUUGAAAAUGUAAAUUUUGCUUUUAAUUAAAAAUGAAGUCUUAGUUAAGACAACUCAGGAUAUACCAACUAUUCAGGCUGUUACUUUAGUAUUUUCCCAUUGCCUCGUUAGUAAUGUUCAUCACACUUUGCUAGAUGUUUAUUGAUUACAGUGUUGCUCUAAAUGUGUGUGAAUACAUUAGAGAGGCUUUGUGUUUUUCACUGUGAAGUGCAGUGGUGCCUUGAAUAAGGAGGUACCUAGAAGCCAAAAUUUAAGUAAUACUAAUGACUUCUUAUUGACUUUGACACUUCAUUUUAGUAUUUGUAACUAUACAACAAGAAAAGCUCACCAUUCAUUUUUGAAAACACAACUUGAAAUAGAUAAUAAAAGUCAGUGGCGGUCUGAACCCUUGGGGUACAUUGAAUCUGACCGUUGGUUCAUAUGCACUAUUAAAUUUUAACGAUUAUCUGCACUUUGAAAAUAGUCUAGUCUUAGUGAACUUGAACUGGACCUGAGCAGCUGAAUUGUUUACAUUGCAUGUUUUUCUCUUGUUCCUGUAUGUGAUACUAUCAGGGUAUAAUUUCUCUGUAUCAUGUUCCAUAGAUGUAAUGUUGCUCUUUCACGUUUUCAGAUUCUCCUCCUUACUUGAGCUUCAGAUAUAUAAAAUCUGCUGGGUUCACUCAUGCCCUCGGAUCUUCAUGCUGGCAUGUGAGAUGAGAAACCCACAUAUGUGCUCUAACUUAGAACUGGGGCUUAUGUGGUUUUGAUCAAAUGUUUACAGUUUUUCCUUAGAAGAAUAUAGCAUAAGAAAAUGUUGUGAGUGCACAGAACAGGAUUAAUCUUUUUAUAUAUAUAUAGCCACUUAUACUUUUAUUGCACUAUGAUAUAUACAAUUAAUGUCUGAGAUAUUUUUGAUUAAGGAAAACAGACAUCACCUUUUGUUUCUUUUAGUUAAUUUUUUUCCCUCUAGUUUUAGAGCUUUUCAAGUAAAAUCUUAGGCCACAUGAAUGGAUAAAACCUCUUUUGGAAGAAAUGUUUGUGAGCUUUAAUGUGCUUGAUAUAUGAUAUAUAUAUUUUUUAUGUUUUUUUGGUAAGAAGUUCUGUGGUAUUCUUCCUGUGCUUCCCCUCAUCCUGAGGUGCUAUUUUAUCUAAGAGUCAGUCAGUAGUCUGCCUUUUGAAGAUAAUGCUGAAGUGCUGUAUCACCUUAAAUGACAUAGCACUUCUACCAUCUGAACAGGUACAUAGGACUGAUGUAGACUUCCUAGCAUGUCUACUGUUAAAAUACAGUUUAAUUAGGUUCCUAUCUCAUUCUCUUAAGUAAUGCUUUGUAGGUACUUCCCUUUGAAGGCCACAAAGUAUUUCCAGAAGCAUAAACCAUUGAAGAAUCUUGCUUAUAGGUAUGCAUUAAAAUAAAUGCCUUUAUUAAGAUCCGUGACUACUAAAAAAUAAUAAAAAGAAAUGUAUUUCUUUUUAUAUGAAAUGUAUAUGAAACAGAAUCCCCAAAUAGUUUAGCAAAGGCAGGGCCUAAUAUCAGGUAAUUUAAAAAUGGUCUAAGGAACUGAGAAGUGAACUGAAGGAGGAACUGAUUUUACAAUAAACUUUAAAAUGUUAUAGAAAAGCAAAACAACAGAUGUUCAAGAGAAUUUCUGUGCUUAAGUUUAAAAGAACGAAAAUCUGAAUGGGAAGAAUUACAUGCAUAUAAAUUCCCUUUUCUAAAAUUUAUGUCCCCUGUUUAUGAGCAAAACUUUGUUUGCAAUCUCUUCUAAGGGGGUGGAGAGAUGAGGGAGUUGAGCAGUGGUUUGUGAAUGUGUGAGUAAAGACAUGGGCAGCUGAUUGUUAAUGUUCUUGUAAUUCAGUUUAUAAUUUGGAGCCAUGAAAAGCACCAAAUUGAAGUGGCUCAGCUGCCUGCCAGCCCCUGGCUUUUCUGGGAUAUCAGUAUGCUAGAACACAGUGGGCUUGGCCUUUGACCCAUAGAGAGCAGUAUGGAUAUGCUCAUGCUAGCCUGCAGUUACAGUAUCCCUUUCUUUACAUGCAGUCCUGCAGCUUGGGACCUAGUUGUAUUUCAGGAGGAUAGAGGCAACUGUUCCAUGUAAUUAUAUUUUUUUCUUGGUAAAUCAAAAUUUAUUAUUGGGAAUGAUAGAAUAAGUUAGUAUGUAUGUAUUAAAAUAGGGUAGCCACUCAUUCUGAAAACAUUAAUUGUAUUGAAAUGACAUACCAACCAGCCAUCUAUUAUAUAUGUGUCUAUUCCUAGGCCUCAUAGCCAUCUGUAUAUUUAAACAUUUUAAAUGCCCAUUUGGACCGUUAAAUAACAGUGGUGGAGGACACAGAUUGGAGUUUUAUCUCUGUUAAGUUUAAGUCAGGAAUGAAAUUCCAAAGCAUGGGCUACUAGUAGGAGGGGCACUGAUGUUGAAAUGAUCCAUGUUCUUGGUAAUCAUUUCCCCAGUAACUGUAGGUGCUCGAGCUUAAUGCUGAACUUCGAAGUAAUUUUUGUACUUAAGUUUAGGAGUUUCCGUUUAUAUAGCAAAAAUUGCCUUGGUCUAUAUUCAUAUAAAUGGUGCUGAAAAUGUGGACCCCUUACAAGAACUGCAGCAAUCCACUGUAAUGCUGAUGACUUCUGAGUAUUUUAGUAUGGGAGCAAAGCCAAAGUGAAUAUAUUUAAUAAACUCCCUUCUCAUUUCCAUUGUGUUUAUAAAACUGCUUUGGUAUUGUUACCUGCAUUUUAGCAUAUUCUAGCUUUCUGUGUUAUGAAAACAACCAAACUUUAGAAUUUCUACCAGUGGUAAUGGCAUUUGGGGAAUCCAUCAUGAAGGGACUGCACACUGAAUGAUGGCUGUGCUUCUCCCGGCUUGUUUCGCAACUUUUCUGUUGUCAUUGUUAAGAAGGCAGCAUUUGCAGCAUUUGUCAACAUACUCAUCUGUUACGGAAAAUGCCUCUGAGGCUUUGGGCAGUUUGGAGCCUUGAUUCCUAUCUGCAGGUUCAUCCAGAUGCCUGGCUUAGGGGCAGAGUUUCUUAUGUCACUUACUGAAUCUCUUGUCUUUGCUGUCAGAGGUUGAACCUACUCUGGGGUUUUGCUGUUGAUCCUCUUUAGCACACCUGACUGCUGAAAAAUAAAUAACUAAAAAUAAACUUAGAAAAUAAAACUCAGAAAACUGGCUGUGUCACUGUGGUUAAAUGCAUGCUUUUGAGGACUUAGGCAGAUUGUGAUUCAUGAGUUAGCAUUCCAGCAUCCCAAGGCUGGCCUGGGAUGUGCAGAAGCCAACUCUUGACUUCACCUUGCCCUUGGUAGGUGGAGGAAUGGAGGUUUGGGGCGGGAUUGUUGGGGAGUGCUGCAUAGUUAGAUGAGAUGAAGUGAUUAGCCCAGUGCCCGACCCAUAGUAAGGGCUCUGAAAAGGCACACAGUUAUGGAUAUGGGUCUGUAUUGAACAUCAGCUGCUAUUAGCAAGAUGAGCUUGGAUAAAUUGCUGACACUUCUUAAAUCUCAUGGCUUCAUCUCAACCAUGCACAGUCUGUUUGAGGUGAUAGUAUGCAUUAAGUGAGGUGCCAGCAUGUAACAGAUUUGGAGGAAGAUGCCCACAUAGCAGGGCUCCAGCCACAAUCCUGACCCAGCCUUGCUGUGUUUUUGCUGAGGAGAGGCCUGUUGUGUGCAGUAUAUUCUUAGAUCUCUGUGAACCAUUGUGACUGCUGGAAGUGUACCUGGAAAUGUAGUCACAAGAACUUAUAUAUGUUGUGUAUAAGUCUGACUCACUGAAAGAAGUUAAUAAUCCAAAGAUGGGGCAAGAUUUUCAAAGGUCUCUUGGGAAUAGGAAAUGGAGAACCAGUAGAGAUCUGACUUCCUGUUAGCACUGAGUCUGGGGAUCUUUUGCAAAAUAGUGCAGGGCUUUGAAGGACCCACUGAUUGGGGGCAUCUCUCAAGUGCAGUGCUAGGUUGGUAAUGGGCAAAAAAAAAAAAAACACUACAUGAUAAAUUUACAAUAACAAACCAUUCUCUUUCAAUUCAUUUGAAUUACUCAGCCUUUUCAGUGUUCCCCUCUACUUGUCUGAGUUUAUGUGCCUGGCUCAUCUCUGAGGGCAAUGUUUCUUGCAUCUCUUCACUGGCCUUCUCCCACCCUAGGAAGUGGAAGACCAGAGGGUCCAUGUUGUGGGUCUUAUGGAGGAGUCCUUACAAUCAUCAGAUGACAAUACCAGCUGCAUUUUAUGUGUUGAAAAUGAGCAGGAUGACUUCAGUGCAGAACUUCUUCCCCUACUCCUCAAUGAAAACUCGACUUGAUGUCCUGUGACAUUGCCGACUGAACACUCUGGGGUAAUAGAGCUGAUUGUCAUCCUAAAUUGCCAGAUACUAUUUGGGUUAGCUUUCUAUCACUGUAACAAAUACCCAGGAUAAUCAGCUUACAAAGAGAAAAGGGUUAUUUUGGCUCAGUUUUAGAGGUUUCAACCCAUGAUCGGGGACUCACUUUGUUGAAGCCUGUGGCAACACUGCACAUCAUGGCAGGAGCAUGUGGUGGAACCAAAUUUCUCACUUCAUGGCCAAGAAGCAAAGAGGAAGAAGAGACCAGUGUUCUAGAAUCACUUUUGAAGGAAUGCCCACCACUGACCUAAAGAUCUUUCAUUGCCCACCUCUUAAAGGUUUCUUCAUCUCCAGUAGUGCUAACCAGGCACCUGGCCUUCAACACAUGGGCCUUUGGAGGGUUGGGAGAGGACACUGAAGAGUCAAACUGUAGCACCUUUCUAAUUCAGAAAUUAAAACAUCCCAUCUUUGUAGAGUCAGAGCUACAACUUAAUUGUUGGCUGUCUUGUCAAGUCAGGACCAGAAAGCAGACUUGGGGUUCCCAGUAUGUGUUAGAAAUGGAAAGAGGCCCAAGUCAGGGCACCAGGAGUAUGUAGAGCUGGAUUUCCAACUAAGGUGGGAGAGGCCUGGGGACCGUUUUUUACUCUUUUCCAAAGAGAGUGUUGUUAAACAGCAGUGAGCAGCACAGUGGCUCUGGGAACGGGUAGAAGGACAGCUGGAUUAGGAUGCAGCCUUGCCAGGUAAGGUGGAGGAAGCACUUUUGAGCUCCAUCACCAUGGGCUUGCAAGCCUCUGCCCUAAUGGCUGGGGAAGAGCUGGCCAGCUCUCCUCUACUUGGGCCAAGAGAGCAUUCCCCGUUCAUCAAGUGGAAGAUCUGAGGGUAAUCUUAGGCCUACAGCAAAGAGUGAAAAGAAUUACUCCAUUUAUUGAUUCUGUUUUGGUCUUUGGAUUCAGGGGUUUCUGAAUCUGAGAUAAGAUUAGGCUUUGUUCCUUGAAAGCUCUAGUCAUUUUUCUUUGUUGAAGGCAACCCCAAGUAUUCAUAGAUUCAUUGGCUCAGGUGCUUCCCUGAGGCUUGGAAACUUAGCAGAUGUGGCACCAUGGACUUUUGAACUGCCAUUGAUUGAUCAUGAUCUGUAGAUUCCGAUGUCACAGUACAAUUAGAACUAGGAAAGAUCUUGCCCCUGAGUACGAAGGCUGAUCCAGGGGGCACCAGUCACUUGCCUGCCUCAUGGCUAAUAAGCAGCAGGGACAGAAUGAGGACUCAAAGCUCCUGACUUAAUUUUUUCUUUUGUUCAAAGAUCAGAAUAUUGAGCUGUAAAAUUAGCAUGAUACUUACUGGCUUAUGCUGUUCAGGUAAAACUGCUGGGUCAAGCUGGGGAUCCUGGCGGAAAAUGAAGGAUACAAGUAGUACCUGCCUUCCCCCAUCCGGUGUUGCUUUUGAUAUUGUUAGCAAGGGGAACUCAGAAGAGGAUGGUUGUGUCUGUGAUCCUGGAGACACUCAAGAUUCUCUCCUGAUGUGAGCUAGUGAGACCACAAGGCACACAGGAAAGAACAAAGUGAGAGCUAUGUGGAAAUAGUGUUGUCAGGGUGGGACCCUGCUAGAGGAAUGGAGGUCAUGGAAAAGUUGAUACAUGUAACUCCUCUAAAUAGAGAUGUCAGGGGGAACUGGGGAGGGUGCAGACUUGCUCCCCUCACCACCCCACCAUGGUAGCACCACUUCCCAGGGGGGAAAUUCUGCUUGGGGUGACAUACCCCCUUACUGUCUUUAAGGUGGCCAGGAACAGAACCCACUCUGACACUAGCUAGGCAUGAAGACAUACAUGCCCCAAUACUGUGGGUGAAAGCAAUGACGAUGACCUCUUAAAACUUCAAAAACAGCUGGGUGUGGUGAUGCACGCCUAUUAUCCCAGCAUUUGGGAGGCGAAAGCAGGAGGAUUACAAGUUUCUGGCCAGCCUGAGCUGUGUAUUGAGACCCUAUCUCAAAACAAAACAAAACAAAACUGUGAUUAGUAUGUAAGAAAAGCACAAUAGAGGUAGGACUAAGAGCUGGAUUUUUAACUAAAAAGAUGUAAUAAAGCAGCAGAAGAAAAGAAAACAUAAUCUGUAGCAAGUUAGUAGGACAUUUAUAAUUUUAUGGAUUAAAUCUUACGUAUUAAAGAACUAGUAUGAAGAAGCUGGAAAGGUGAGUGCCAUCUUUGAGUUAAGAUGUCAUAUUUUAAAAAGAGUAAUUCUUCUCACAUAAAAACUGAUUAAGAGCAAGACUCCCAGAUAUGGACAGGAGGAGUUUUAGGCUCUAUUCUUCUCAGACUCAGCCAAUGUGACUAAUGUUGGGAUUCUCACUUUAGGAAAAGGGUAGAGAAUUCAGAGAGGGUUCAGAUAAGUACUUUCAGUAUUACUGAAGCUAUGUAGAAGUAAAAGUGAUUUUAAUACAGAAUCAAAUCAGAUGAAAUAGGUUCUAUUUAAGACUAGGAGUUAAGGGAAAUAUCCCAAGGUAUUUCUUGGUUUUACCUGGUAAGGCAAAGGGUCAAAUUUUAGUAUCUCAAAAAAAAAAAAAAAUGUCAGGAUUAGGAUAUCAAGUGCCUUUGUGGUAUGUAAACAAAUGGUGAGGAUAAGAAAAUCAAGAAACUAAAAGCAAUCUCAAGUAUAUGACAAAUGUUUAACCUUUACUUACAGCAAAAUUAGAGUAGGAAACCUUUGACAGUGUAUGGGUACAAAAAAGUACCUCUGUACCCUCUGAAACAAAAUAAGCAUUUUAAAUCCUCUGAGCAGUGACAAAACUUACAUCCAUUAAAUACAUUAACAGCACUUGUUAUAUUUGUCUCUGCAGUUAGUUUGAAUCAAAGGCUUCACAAAAAUUUUAAUGUGAUUGGUGUCAACAGUUUAAACCCAGAAUUCUGAAGUGAAAUGGAAAAACCUGUAAACUGACAGCCGUAGUGUAUGAUUCCCAGUAGAUUUAAUCUUGUUAAAAGAAAAAAUAAAACCCAGGAUUGCUGCUGCUGUUCAGAUCUGAAGUGAAGAAUGAGUUAAUUUUAUUUUCCCAUUGUUGGAGAUCAUGUUCUUAAACUGGAUUAUCAUAAAGGGCUAGAUGAGAAAGGUGCCUUAGCAAAGUGUGGCCAGAGAAGUGAUGUGGAAGUCAUGCUGUGCUCUAGCAAGGACUCCAGGUUGGAAACUCUUCAGUGAGUAAGCACGGGUGUGUUGGUAUUGGGCAGAAUCUUGUGUGUGACUCUCGAUUUUCUGAAGCUUUUUGACUCCUUGGUCAUACAAGCUUUAGAUAAUCACAUAUCGAAACACCAAUAAGCAAGCCAAAAGUACGUCACUGAAUCCAAGGAACAAGGUGUUUGCCACCACAAGCCUCAUGGAUGUGGCAGCCCUGGGUAACGGGCCUGCUUCAUGGUGAUAUGUCUGGUGCUGGGUGAUGGGGUAUACAACCCUGAACCUGCCUUGAAAUGAGAGAUGGUGUGAACUUUGCCUUCAGGAGGUGGUUUGUUCAAACCGUGGGUCUCUGCAGUUCACAGCCCCGUCCUGCAGGAAACCAGAGUCCACCUGGCUGGUCAUACAUGUUUGCAGACUCAUGGUGGGGAACAACUGCCUCUAAAUAUUGUAGUAUUCACUAGUCUCUAUGUCAGUGAAUUUCCAUGAUGUUGUAUAGUGAGUGGGUACAACCAGUUUUAGCUGUCCAUCCCCAUCUCCUCCCUUCUUUAACCUAAGGAACUCUUUUUUAUUCUGGAGACAAAUGCUCCUAGGUGUCUGGCACUGUGGUUUAAAAACAUACUUCCAUGGAAGCUAAUGCCAAGUCUUGCUAGUAAAGUGCACUUGGAGUUAUAUUAAAAAGAGGUAGCGCGUAAAAAACAUUUGCUGAUUCAGGCAAGCUAUAAAAGUGCAUAUAUAUUAGGCAGUUUCUAAGAGACCCUGGUUGAUUGCAAUGAGGCAGAAAAAAAAAUUAUCACUAAAAUAUUUUUGAAGGUAUUGAUCAUAAUUUUCCUGGAAAUACUUGGACUUGACAAAGUUUUUUUUUUUGUGCUCUUCCUAGGAGAGAUCUGCAGCAGCUAACACAAGACCUAACCUUCUGUCUUAUGGCAAAAAGAAAACCUAAGCUUUAAAUCUCUUAAGCUCUUCAUCAUUUCCCCCUUUGAAAUCAGACAGUAAAGUAUGUAAUUUGUUUUGUUUUCUGAGUUUUGAGUUGAGUUUGGGUUAUUUUGAUUAUAUUAUAUGAUUUCUCUCAUGUUGUAUAUUGUGUGGUGUUUCAGACAUUUAGCCUUUGAAGGUCCAGGCAACAGGGCCUUUUACAUUUUUCUUCACAUUUUCUCUACAUCCUGUUUCAUGUGUGGUUAGAUCAGCUGAUGAGUCACCUGAUGUUUUGCUGCUUCAAAUGACAGAAAUAGAGAUUCAAAAUAACCACAAAGAGGAGUAUCUCCAAUGUUUACCAAACACAUUGCUGAAAAACAUACUUUUCUAUGGUUCAAAUGCUGUUUACAAAGGAGCCGUGUGAGGGCCGUGUGUGCAGUGCAGACAGCUCAAUACUGAGUGACCAUGUCUUUCUGAGUCCUACCACAGACUGCAUGACAGCUUUGGUUACCAAAAGGGGGUGUGUGUCAGAACUUAGAACAUGAAAAAGCCCUUUUCCUGGAUGGUGCACUGGUUUGAUCUAUGAAGACUUUCAUCGUUAGGUUUAGUGGCUAGCUCUCUUGCAAGGCCAGAGGCCAGAAACUGGCUGGUUGGCUGGUACAAACCAGCACAUGAUGUUCUGGGCACUGGUCUACUCAGAGGCUCACUUGAGUAGAAAGAUUUUUAAAUAUAGGAAAACUUCUCAAGGUUAUGUAAUUUAAUUACAAGAAUGUAAAUACUUUCUAUUUUGUAAUACACAUUUUCAUUCUGCUUUAGUUUGAAGAGAAAAUUCAGUCAAGGGAACUACUGAAUCUAUAAAUGGAUGUGUUUCUAGAAAAUAAGGUUCCCUCUGAAGAAAGAAAAUCUCCUCAAACAGGGAACAAUUAAGAGAAUAGGGAGGGCCUGGGGUGGAGCUCAGCAGUUCAGUGCUUGCCUAGCAUGUACAAAGCCCAGUGCUACAAAGAGGGGUGGGGAGUAGGGACCUGCUGACUUUUCUCACUAAAGCUGUAACUGAGUAAACUUUCCUCUUGUUGAUCCAACCCUGCCAGAUCCAGAAAGUGCUGUGUUAUGCUCCAGCUACCCUUCCUCCUGGGCCUUGCACCCUACCUCCUCUCUCUCCCCAGAGUAUUUAUUGGGAAAAUUUAAGAGUGAAGUAUGAAGCUGUAAAUAUUGCAAAGAUUUACUCAGCCUCAUCUAAUUUUUUUUUUUUUAUACUUUGGAUUGAAUCCAGGGCCUCACACAUGCUAGGCAAAUGUUCUACCACUUGAGUUGUGCUCCUAGCCCUCAUCUGAUAUAUCUUAAACCAAUAUUAAGUGUUUCUGAGGACAUUUCCAAGUCAAACCACCUGCCAAAGCUACAAAACAAAGGAGAAUACCACCUUUGGUAGAAGACAAUACCAACACAGGCAGCAAGGGGAGUUACUUUACCCUGUGAUACAAACAGGUGGCUUAAUCUGCCCCAGUGAAAGAUUCUCCAGUGAGUGAAGGCUUCUGCCAAUGUGCAAAUCUCAGUACUCCCUAAGCUCUAGGGCUGGCAGGUCCAGUCCUUUCAUGACUUAGAGCAAACCUCAUCUAGUUCUGUUUGCUCAGUUCCCAGGUGUCAUAGAUGAGAUCCCUGUAACUAGGGGCAGAACAAAUGGCAACUGCAUGUUGAGAAUGACCUGUUGUGUACCCCUAAAAAAUAUGAGGCUGCUUUGAUAAUUCAGAGGAAAUCCUCACUAGAGAAAGCCUAUGCGUUGAACUGCCCAAACUCAUUUCUCAGCAUUUUAAUGAAAAUCUGCUUAGCGCUCUUGUAUUUUUAGAUUAUAUUUGUCUACAAGUAACCUUGAGAAAGUCACACCUGGUCUUUCCAUAGUCCUUGACAUGAGGAUCUCAUAGGCAUGGUGUCCUUCUAAAUAUAUCAUCUAUCUAUCUCUCAGCUGAAUGAACUGUACAAAAAUAAACAUGUUGGCAAAGUUGAAAGGUUGCCCCAAUGCCUCUGGAAAGUGGGAAGAAGUGCCCCUGUGCUCACUUGAAGGAUGGAAUUCUUGGUGCAAGAAUUGCAAUUGGAGAAUCUUCCAUCUCAAGUUCUGCUUCAGGAGCCCAGAUGUGUGUCAGGUUUUGACACUGCAGCCCAGGAAAAGGAAGUGUAAGAGGGAGCCUGCACUUUGCAUAAGCCCUGCAAAAAUCACAGCUCCGAAGUUGAGGCCUGGGACUGGUGUUGCUUCCUGGGCUCUCAGGAACUCUGCCACAACAUGAUGGCUCUCAUCUUUAGCACGGUCAGCAGCCCUGGAGUUAUACUCACAUGUUCAAAUUACAUAGAGAAGCGCUGAUAGCUGAUCUUUCCUGGAUUCAGAGGGAAAGGAUUUUGCCUUUUCAGUUUAAUCUGUAAGUUCCAACCCCAGAAGCACGAAAGUCACACAUGUUAAAAAAUACUGCUGUUUAAUUUUCUAGUCAUGUACUUUAAAAAAGCCAAUACAAUCAGACUUUCCUCCCCUCACCAUAUUUCCAGAUCUGCCUCUGAAACCACCCCAAAGUGGCUACAUGUCUUCA